UAAAAAUAAAUUCAUUAAUUUAACAUCAUUAAGUUUUGAUAAAUAUGAAUUUAAUGUACUUUGUUUUUUGUUUUUGCAAAUUUUAUUUGUUAUAGUAAACAAUUCAAUUACAGAUAAGAUAAAAGAAUUUAUUAAGAAUUGAAGGAUUGGUGAAAAUAUACCAACAUGCUUAUAUUAAUUUUAAAUAUUUAAUACAUAAAAAUUGCAUUCAGUUAUUUCAAUAAAUCAAAAAAUAUUAAAGAAAAAGUCGAAAGUCAGGAAUUGGGUUUAAUGUGCUGCUAUUGGUCUAUUUGAACGAUGACAUCACAGAUCGUCACGAAAUUCGUCGCGCGCUCUGUCAAAGCGCCAUUGCUCAGACCCCUCUAGAGAAGUAUUGGAUUGAGCGCGCUUGUUGGCAUUUUGUCUUUACGAGUUCGGAACAGGUAACAGUUUUGAGUGAUAUUAUUAGAAAAGAAAAUGGAGAAGAGAAUCGAAUUGGAAAAAAGAGGAAGGAAUCCUAAUCAGGUUGUGAAACGCCGGGUAGUCACAUGGCCUGUCGCCAUGGUUUCCAAAACAAGAAAUGUCGUUGAUUGAACACGUAUCAAAAAGUUAGGAAAAGUUAUUUGUCAUAUUACGGAGGAGGUUCCGGUCGAAAGGUUUUUGGAUAACUUUUGAAUCGGAUAAAAUGGAGAGAGGU